GAUGAACGCUGGCGGCGUGCCUAAUACAUGCAAGUCGAGCGAACAGACGAGGAGCUUGCUCCUCUGACGUUAGCGGCGGACGGGUGAGUAACACGUGGAUAACCUACCUAUAAGACUGGGAUAACUUCGGGAAACCGGAGCUAAUACCGGAUAAUAUAUUGAACCGCAUGGUUCAAUAGUGAAAGACGGUUUUGCUAUCACUUAUAGAUGGAUCCGCGCCGCAUUAGCUAGUUGGUAAGGUAACGGCUUACCAAGGCAACGAUGCGUAGCCGACCUGAGAGGGUGAUCGGCCACACUGGAACUGAGACACGGUCCAGACUCCUACGGGAGGCAGCAGUAGGGAAUCUUCCGCAAUGGGCGAAAGCCUGACGGAGCAACGCCGCGUGAGUGAUGAAGGUCUUCGGAUCGUAAAACUCUGUUAUUAGGGAAGAACAAAUGUGUAAGUAACUAUGCACGUCUUGACGGUACCUAAUCAGAAAGCCACGGCUAACUACGUG
rnacentral:rRNA from 1 species